rnacentral:rRNA from 1 species
UGAACGCUGGCGGCGUGCCUAAUACAUGCAAGUCGAGCGAACAGACGAGGAGCUUGCUCCUCUGACGUUAGCGGCGGACGGGUGAGUAACACGUGGAUAACCUACCUAUAAGACUGGGAUAACUUCGGGAAACCGGAGCUAAUACCGGAUAAUAUAUUGAACCGCAUGGUUCAAUAGUGAAAGACGGUUUUGCUGUCACUUAUAGAUGGAUCCGCGCCGCAUUAGCUAGUUGGUAAGGUAACGGCUUACCAAGGCAACGAUGCGUAGCCGACCUGAGAGGGUGAUCGGCCACACUGGAACUGAGACACGGUCCAGACUCCUACGGGAGGCAGCAGUAGGGAAUCUUCCGCAAUGGGCGAAAGCCUGACGGAGCAACGCCGCGUGAGUGACGAAGGUCUUCGGAUCGUAAAACUCUGUUAUUAGGGAAGAACAAAUGUGUAAGUAACUAUGCACGUCUUGACGGUACCUAAUCAGAAAGCCACGGCUAACUACGUG